ACAAACAAAAGUAGCGUCGUCUCCACCGAACCAGUUGUCAGUGGCAACAUAUAGGAAUCGUGUACAUUUCUUCGUUUCUUCUUUGCUGUUUUCAGUGAGUGUUUUGUUUUCUCUUUGUCCUUGAUCUCGACGGCGUUGUCGUGCUCAUUACCUUACUGAGACGUCUCUUGUGACUGUAGCAAGUGUCACGGAGGAUUUUAUUGGCGUGACGAGGUAGAUCGCCGAGAUCGAGCGUGAAAAACGCUCUGCAUUAGUAGCUCCUGUAGAAUGUCUUCUGGGAUGGCGUAUCCAUGGUCAACAAAGCCAAGGUGCAAGACAGCAUAAGAGAUCGUGUAAACGAUGUGAACUCCAAAAGAUAAUCUGGACAAAAUUAUAUUGUAACUGGAGAGUGCAAUCGUGCUUGGGACCCAUCCCAAUGUCAUCACAUGGCUGUGGUGACUAGUGUAUACCUGGGAGAGUUUUUCCUCAACUGAGACGGAGUGUAGGUGGAUGGAUUAUGAGAAAUGCGAAGAUGUGGAGUUCAAGGCUAGAUGCACUUCACAUUCGGCGUCUGGGACCUGAUAACAUCUUGGUUGGAUGGGUAAUCAAGGAUGAUACUACUCGGCACACCAAUGUACAUGUCAAUGUAGUUUUUACUUUUUCAGAGCUGCACUAUUUACGUCUUGAUGCUUACUUCGGUGCUAGUGUCGUGUCCGUGUGUUGCUACAAUGUCAUUAUCUGUAUUGUAUUCCGUCUGCUUAUACAUGUGUCUUUAUGAAGUGUUUGCCGUGGCGGCGAUGUGUCUUGUCGAUCAAUAGUGUUGUGAAACCUAUCACUAUUCAUGCUUUGCUGGCUACUCGCUCGCUCCGCGCCGUGCACGCUACUAGGUCUU